GACGAACGCUGGCGGCGUGCCUAAUACAUGCAAGUCGAGCGCAGGAAGCCGUCUGAACCCUUCGGGGGGACGACGGUGGAAUGAGCGGCGGACGGGUGAGUAACACGUAAAGAACCUGCCCAUAGGUCUGGGAUAACCACGAGAAAUCGGGGCUAAUACCGGAUGUGUCAUCGGACCGCAUGGUCCGCUGAUGAAAGGCGCUCCGGCGUCGCCCAUGGAUGGCUUUGCGGUGCAUUGGCUCGUUGGUGGGGUAACGGCCCACCAAGGCGACGAUGCAUAGCCGACCUGAGAGGGUGAUCGGCCACACUGGGACGGAGACACGGCCCAGACUCCUACGGGAGGCAGCAGUAGGGAAUCUUCCACAAUGGACGAAAGUCUGAUGGAGCAACGCCGCGUGAACGAUGAAGGCUUUCGGGUCGUAAAGUUCUGUUGUAAGGGAAGAACAAGUGCCGCAGGCAAUGGCGGCACCUUGACGGUACCUUGCGAGAAAGCCACGGCUAACUACGUGCCAGCCGCCGCGGUAACAC
rnacentral:rRNA from 1 species